GAGCACGUAGGUGGGUUUGUAAGUCAGGUGUGAAAGCCUUCUGUUCAAAGGAAGAACGGCAUCUGAAACUGCGAAUCUUGAGUGUAGGAGGGGAGAGUGGAACUUCUGGUGGAGCGGUGAAAUGCGUAGAUAUCAGAAGGAACGUCGGCGGCGAAAGCGACUCUCUGGCCUAUUACUGACACUGAGUGUGCGAAAGUUAGGAGAGCAAACGGGAUUAGAUACCCCGGUAGUCCUAACCGUAAACGAUGGGCACUAAGUAGAGGG
rnacentral:rRNA from 1 species